rnacentral:rRNA from 1 species
UGGGGAAUAUUGCACAAUGGGCGCAAGCCUGAUGCAGCGACGCCGCGUGAGGGAUGACGGCCUUCGGGUUGUAAACCUCUUUCAGUAGGGACGAAGCGCAAGUGACGGUACCUGCAGAAGAAGCACCGGCUAACUACGUGCCAGCAGCCGCGGUAAUACGUAGGGUGCGAGCGUUGUCCGGAAUUACUGGGCGUAAAGAGCUCGUAGGCGGUUUGUCACGUCGUCUGUGAAAUCCUAGGGCUUAACCCUGGACGUGCAGGCGAUACGGGCUGACUUGAGUACUGCAGGGGAGACUGGAAUUUCUGGUGUAGCGGUGGAAUGCACAGAUAUCAGGAAGAACACCGAUGGCGAAGGCAGGUCUCUGGGUAGUAACUGACGCUGAGGAGCGAAAGCAUGGGUAGCGAACAGG